rnacentral:rRNA from 1 species
GUUGAUCCUGGCUCAGGAUGAACGCUAGCGGCAGGCUAACACAUGCAAGUCGAGGGGCAACGCGAGUAGCAAUACUUGGCGGCGACCGGCGCAAGGGUGCGUAACGCGUGAGCAACAUGCCCGUAUCAGGGGGAUAAUCCAGGGAAACUUGGUCUAAUACCCCAUAGUAAUUUUGUAAGGCAUCUUAUAAGAUUUAAAGCUUUGGUGGAUACGGAUUGGCUCGCGUGACAUUAGCUGGAUGGUAAGGUAACGGCUUACCAUGGCUAUGAUGUCUAGGGGUUCUGAGAGGAAGGUCCCCCACACUGGAACUGAGACACGGUCCAGACUCCUACGGGAGGCAGCAGUGAGGAAUAUUGGACAAUGGAUGGAAAUCUGAUCCAGCCAUGCCGCGUGAAAAGGAAGAAGGUCCUAUGGAUUGUAAACUUCUUUUGUAUGGGAGCAAUAAGGCCUACGAGUAGGUUGAUGAGAGUACCAUACGAAUAAGCACCGGCUAACUCCGUGCCAGCCGCCGC